CUGCAAAUGUUCUUGCUAUUCUGAUUUUGUAAUAAUCAGGACAGACUAAACAUUCACUAUACAAAAAACAUAAAACAUUUACUAUAUAAAAUACAUGUGUCUGUAGACCUAAUUCUUUCCCUGGGUUUGGUUUUAUAAAUGCUGGUGCUAAGC
rnacentral:snoRNA from 1 species